GAAAAAGCAGCAGAAGACCCCAGAAACCUUCUCCCCCUCUCCUAGCCUGUAUCUGCUGCAGAGGGAACAGGUGGAUGGAGCACAAUGGGACGUACUGUUUGGGAGCGGUAGACCUGAAGGAAUAGGCAGGGUUUCAUCUCUUCCUCCAGUGUGGUGGAAAGCUACUGCAUUUUCCUUUCCGGGAGAUACAGUACAUUUCGGGUUAUGGUGACUAUGGACCUCAUUUAUUUUUGGGUAUGCAUCCCUUGUGGGUGCUUUUCUGUCCUUGUGUUCUUUCUCUAGUCAGACAGUGAUGUAUUUGGAGUGUUAGUGUGAUAACAAGGGCAAGUAUGAAGUUCUGCUAUCUUGUGCUGGUCUGUGGGCGCACUACUGGCUCUGGGGGAAACAAAGAACUUCUAGAAGAAAUGUUGAAAAGGCCUCACCGUCUUCAAUGUGUAACCUUUCUCAAAUCCUGUUAUGUUCAAGUCGUUACUAUAUAUAAACAUGGUACCUUUUUCAAUGAGUAAAAGGUGAGGCAGAGACACAAGUGGAAGACACAUGAGAGUGCUUUUAAAGCCGAGAACAGGGGACAAAUUCUUUGUAAAAAGGAUGGUGGGAGUAUAGGACAGCCAUGGUGUGGAAGAUGGUACACUGUUGUUUCAAGAUAUGGGUCAAAUAGCCACUAGCAACGUGUCAAAUAUAGAGGGCCCAAACUGGCUGCUGUUUGUAACCUUGAUGUUCCUACGGUAUGCACUUCAAUUUUAAAAUGUAAAAUCGUUCUCUGGUAACAGUAGGGGCUGCCCCCUUCGAAAACUAUUGCAGCGAACGGCGCCUUUUCGGCCGGCGGUGGCAUCCGACCGCCCGCAAGCUCUCUGACGGUUUUAUUGCCCUGUUCGUGCCCGUGGGGCGCGCUGGUCACGGAGCAGGAAACCCCAGGAAGGCAGAGAGAAAGGAAGCGUCCUCUGCACGCAGAGGGGAAAGAGGGAAAGAGCGCGCCGGGAUCGCUCUUCGGUUUGCAACGGCGAGGCCAGGGCGAAGCUGGCGUGAAAAAGGGACUGAUCGUUGGGACGGUUCGACGCCGGGGGGAUGCGGACUGCGACAAUAUACUUAUAAAACUCCUGAGAUCUUUAUUUUUAAAGAAGAAUGUGGUCGUGUAAAAAAAAAAAGCUUACACGGAGAAAAAUGCACACUGUAGCUGUGCCCAGACGGGUCACGCGAGGGCAGCAAAUUACAAGGUCCUAAUUUAUAACAACAAUAACCGCUUGCGAUAUAAGUCGUGCCUUACAACUGUAUGAUCUUGCCAGUCAGGACCCGAUGCAGAUGGCAGAAUCCGGAGGGGAGUGAGACAAAAACCGGGAAAAAAACUUGGAUAGGGGCUGGAAGAAGGGCAGGGGGCGUGUCCAAGGUGCGCUGGGGCUCAAGGGGGCGUGUCCAGGGAGUCUGUAAGGAAAUCCAUGGUAAGGCACAUGUCCAGAGCCGGGUGGUCCAUCCGUGACGAAGACAAGACAUAGUUAACAGCCGGAGCGGGAUCCGGCGAAGGACCAGGGGAGAAUAAAAAGGGUUAACGGGGCCCGGCGCUCCCAGCCCCGGACACAGAUUGUCAGGACGCCGUUCCGAAGCCUUUGCCUUCGAGCCUCUCCUGGACUCGCUGGUUGGCGGGCUUCCUGGCGUCCAUCUUCCAAAGCUGAGCCCGGAAUGGUGGGAGUGUCGGACUUUUAAAGGGAAGGCUGGAACUGGAGCCAAAAGACACACGGGUAGGUAAAUUUACGUGUGAGAAAAUUGGCCCUGGAGUGAGUUCGUGUGAGAGUGUGCCCUGCGAUGGACUGGUGUACCCCUCCUUGUGCACUU